rnacentral:snoRNA from 1 species
GGCCGAUGACGAGGUGACCGCUCCGAGCCCGGGUGGCUCCGGCGCGACGACGAGCCCUAUGAGUGCCGAGGCC